rnacentral:rRNA from 1 species
UACAGAGGGGGCAAGCGUUAUUCGGAAUUAUUGGGCGUAAAGAGCUCGCAGGCGGUGUGUCGCGUCGGCCGUGAAAACCUGCAGCUUAACCGUGGGCUUGCGGUCGAUACGGGCAUCACUGGAGUUCGGCAGGGGAGACUGGAAUUCCUGGUGUAGCGGUGAAAUGCGCAGAUAUCAGGAGGAACACCGGUGGCGAAGGCGGGUCUCUGGGCCGAUACUGACGCUGAGGAGCGAAAGCGUGGGGAGCGAACAGG